CCCCUAAGCUGUUACAUCGUCU
rnacentral:miRNA from 12 species